GAGGGUAUAGCUCAGUGGUAGAAUGUAGCUCAGCAUGCACGAGGUCCUGGGUUCAAUCCCCAGUACCUCCA
rnacentral:tRNA from 1 species